AUGGAGUCCGUCGGCGUCGCCCCUGCCCCCGCGGCGGUGGCGGUGGCGGAGCAGAAGAUGAAGCUUCUCGAGCCGCGGAAGGAGCCCCUCGCCUCCGCCGCCGCCGCCGCCAAGGCGCCGUGCAAGUGGGCGAUGAAGAAGAAGCUCGUGGGCGGCGACGCCGGCUACGUGCUCGAGGACGUGCCCCACCUCACCGACUACAUGCCCGAGCUCCCGACGUACCCGAAUCCCCUCCAGGACAACCCUGCCUACUCGGUCGUCAAGCAGUACUUCGUCAACACGGACGACACCGUCACGCAAAAGAUUGUUGUUCGUAAGAACAGUGCGAGAGGCACCCACUUCCGGCGCGCCGGGCCGCGGCAGAGGGUGUACUUCCAGCCCGACGAGGUGAACGCGGCCAUCGUCACCUGCGGCGGCCUCUGCCCCGGGCUCAACACGGUCAUCCGCGAGCUCGUGUGCGGGUUGUACGACAUGUACGGUGUCACCAGCGUCGUGGGCAUAGAGGGUGGAUACAAGGGUUUCUAUUCUCGAAACACCGUUACAUUGACACCCAAGUCAGUGAAUGACAUCCACAAGAGAGGGGGGACCAUUCUUGGAACUUCAAGGGGUGGACAUGACACUGCCAAAAUUGUGGAUAGCCUUCAGGACCGUGGCAUUAACCAGGUCUACAUCAUUGGAGGUGAUGGUACUCAGCAAGGCGCUUCUGUAAUUUAUGAGGAAGUCCGUAGACGGGGCCUCAAAUGUGCAGUGGUCGGUGUCCCAAAGACCAUCGAUAAUGAUAUUGCGGUGAUUGACAAAUCUUUUGGAUUUGACACUGCUGUGGAGGAGGCUCAAAGAGCUAUCAACGCUGCUCAUGUUGAAGCUGAAAGUGCAGAGAAUGGCAUUGGUGUUGUGAAGCUAAUGGGCCGCAACAGUGGGUUCAUCGCAAUGUAUGCUACUCUAGCUAGUCGUGAUGUGGAUUGUUGCUUAAUCCCAGAGUCUCCAUUCUACCUUGAAGGGAAAGGAGGCCUCCUUGAGUUCGUCGAGAAACGGCUCAAGGACAGUGGUCAUAUGGUCAUUGUGGUGGCCGAGGGUGCUGGCCAAGAUCUCAUCGCCCAAAGCAUGAACUUUGUGGACACUCAGGAUGCUUCUGGAAAUAAGCUGCUUCUGGAUGUUGGCCUUUGGCUAUCCCAGAAGAUCAAGGAUCAUUUCAAGAAGAAGACCAACUUCCCCAUAACUCUCAAGUACAUUGACCCGACAUACAUGAUCCGCGCGGUCCGGUCAAACGCCUCCGACAACGUCUACUGCACCCUGCUUGCGCACAGCGCCCUCCAUGGCGCCAUGGCAGGAUACAGUGGCUUCACCGUCGCGCCCGUGAACGGCAGACACGCUUACAUCCCAUUCUAUAGAAUCACCGAGAAGCAGAACAAAGUCGUGAUCACUGACAGGAUGUGGGCGAGGGUGCUGUGCUCGACGAACCAGCCCUGCUUCCUGAGCCACGAGGACGUGGAGAACAUGAAGCACGACGACGAUGAGCGCCACCACCUGCACAACACGCAGCUCCUCGAUGGCUCACCGGCGAAGUGCUCACCCAACUGUAACGGGUCAGCUGGAGCCGAGUGA
rnacentral:rRNA from 1 species